rnacentral:rRNA from 1 species
CUUAGCAUAUCAAUAAGCGGAGGAAAAGAAACCAACUGGGAUUGCCUUAGUAACGGCGAGUGAAGCGGCAAUAGCUCAAAUUUGAAAGCUGGCGUCUUUGGCGUCCGCGUUGUAAUUUGUAGAGGAUGCUUCGGCGAGGGCUCCGGUCUAAGUUCCCUGGAACGGGACGUCAUAGAGGGUGAGAAUCCCGUAUGUGAUCGGUUGCCUAAGCCAUGUGAAGCUCCUUCGACGAGUCGAGUUGUUUGGGAAUGCAGCUCUAAAUGGGAGGUAAAUUUCUUCUAAAGCUAAAUACCGGCCAGAGACCGAUAGCGCACAAGUAGAGUGAUCGAAAGAUGAAAAGCACUUUGGAAAGAGAGUUAAAAAGUACGUGAAAUUGUUGAAAGGGAAGCGCUUGCAACCAGACUCGUCCGCAGUUGCUCAGCCGGUCUCUUGACCGGCGUACUCUUCUGCGGCCGGGCCAGCAUCAGUUCGGGCGGCCGGAUAAAGGCCUCGGGAAUGUAGCACCCUUCGGGGUGUGUUAUAGCCCGGGGUGGAAUGCGGCCAGCCUGGACUGAGGAUCUCGCUUCGGCUAGGAUGCUGGCGUAAUGGUUGUAAGCGGCCCGUCUUGAAACACGGACCAAGGAGUCUAACAUCUAUGCGAGUGUUUGGGUGUCAAACCCAUGCGCGUAAUGAAAGUGAACGGAGGUGGGAACCCUCACGGGUGCACCAUCGACCGAUCCUGAUGUCUUCGGAUGGAUUUGAGUAUGAGCAUAGCUGUUGGGACCCGAAAGAUGGUGAACUAUGCCUGAAUAGGGUGAAGCCAGAGGAAACUCUGGUGGAGGCUCGCAGCGGUUCUGACGUGCAAAUCGAUCGUCAAAUUUGGGUAUAGGGGCGAAAGACUAAUCG